GCGGGACACGUGGUAUCCUGUCUGAAUAUGGGGGGACCAUCCUCCAAGGCUAAAUACUCCUGACUGACCGAUAGUGAACCAGUACCGUGAGGGAAAGGCGAAAAGAACCCCGGCGAGGGGAGUGAAACAGAACCUGAAACCGUGUACGUACAAGCAGUGGGAGCCCCACCACUAAGCCAGUGGUGAACUCCACAUACGCAUCCUUUGCUGAGGAGACGGUUAACGGAGCGAAAGCGACGUUCAACCUCAAAACAAGCAGAGGGGGCUUAGUGGUGGGGUGACUGCGUACCUUUUGUAUAAUGGGUCAGCGACUUAUAUUCUGUAGCAAGGUUAACCGAAUAGGGGAGCCGGAGGGAAACCGAGUCUUAAUUGGGCGUUAAGUUGCAGGGUAUAGACCCGAAACC
rnacentral:rRNA from 1 species